UAGCGUAGUGGUUAAGCAUUUGGCUGCUAACCAAAAGGCCGGCAGUUUGAAUCUACC
rnacentral:tRNA from 1 species